GUGGGGAAUAUUGGACAAUGGGCGAAAGCCUGAUCCAGCCAUGCCGCGUGUGUGAAGAAGGCCUUCGGGUUGUAAAGCACUUUAAGCGAGGAGGAAGGUUCGUCACCUAAUACGUGACGGAAUUGACGUUACUCGCAGAAUAAGCGCCGGCUAACUCUGUGCCAGCAGCCGCGGUAAUACAGAGGGUGCAAGCGUUAAUCGGAAUUACUGGGCGUAAAGCGCGCGUAGGCGGUUGUGUAAGUUGGAUGUGAAAUCCCCGGGCUUAACCUGGGCACUGCAUUCAAAACUGCACGGCUAGAGUAUUGGAGAGGAAGGUAGAAUUCCAGGUGUAGCGGUGAAAUGCGUAGAGAUCUGGAGGAAUACCGAUGGCGAAGGCAGCCUUCUGGCCAAAUACUGACGCUGAGGUGCGAAAGCAUGGGGAGCAAACAGGAUUAGAUACCCUUGUAGUCC
rnacentral:rRNA from 1 species